CAGUCGCCGCGGUAAGACGGAGGGUGCUAGCGUUGUUCGGAAUCACUGGGCGUAAAGGGCGCGUAGGCGGCCUGUUAAGUCGGAUGUGAAAGCCCGGGGCUCAACCCCGGAACUGCAUCCGAGACUGGCAGGCUUGAGACCGGGAGAGGAGGGUGGAAUAUCCAGUGUAGAGGUGAAAUUCGUAGAUAUUGGAUGGAACACCGGUGGCGAAAGCGGCUCUCUGGCCCGGAUCUGACGCUGAGGCGCGAAAGCGUGGGGAGCAAACAGGAUUAGAUACCCCCGUAGUCCCUGUCUCUUAUAC
rnacentral:rRNA from 1 species